GAUGAACGCUAGCGGGAGGCCUAACACAUGCAAGCCGAGCGGUAGAGUUUCUUCGGAAACUUGAGAGCGGCGCACGGGUGCGUAACACGUGUGCAACCUACCUUUAUCUGGGGGAUAGCCUUUCGAAAGGAAGAUUAAUACCCCAUAAUAUAAUGAUUGGCAUCAAUUAUUAUUGAAAACUCCGGUGGAUAGAGAUGGGCACGCGCAAGAUUAGAUAGUUGGUGAGGUAACGGCUCACCAAGUCAAUGAUCUUUAGGGGUCCUGAGAGGGAGAUCCCCCACACUGGUACUGGGACACGGACCAGACUACUACGGGAGGCAGCAGUGAGGAAUAUUGGACAAUGGGUGAGAGCCUGAUCCAGCCAUCCCGCGUGAAGGAUGACGGUCCUAUGGAUGGUAAACUUCUUUUGUACAGGGAUAAACCUACCCUCGUGAGGGUAGCUGAAGGUACUGUACGAAUAAGCACCGGCUAACUCCGUG
rnacentral:rRNA from 1 species